rnacentral:rRNA from 1 species
UACAGAGGGUGCGAGCGUUAAUCGGAAUUACUGGGCGUAAAGCGCGCGUAGGCGGCUUUGCAAGUCGAUUGUGAAAUCCCCAGGCUUAACCUGGGAACUGCAUUCGAGACUGCAUAGCUAGAGUAUGGGAGAGGGAAGUGGAAUUUCAGGUGUAGCGGUGAAAUGCGUAGAUAUCUGAAGGAACAUCAGUGGCGAAAAGCGACUUCCUGGACCAAUACUGACGCUCAUGUGCGAAAGCGUGGGGAGCAAACAGG